ACCAGGCUCUGCUGCCACCGAGUCCCUAGCCCCAACUCAACAAACCUGAAAGGCGAGCCCAGACUGUUCACGUGGUGUCUGCAGAGUUCCACUUAUGUAAAUGGAAACACGUAAGGCCUCUUGAGGUACAGGCUCUGAGCUUCCCUCCUUCAUCUCUACCACAUUCAUUCUGGACAAAACAAGUUGCAAGUCCAGUCCAGAUUUUAGGAGCAGGCAAAUAGACUCCCUAUCAUGAUGGGAGAAACUGCAAAGGAGAGAGGGAGAAUUGCAACCAUAUUUGCAACCAGUCAACCACAAAAUUUAUUGUAGGAGCCAGAGAAGAUAGUCUUGGGAUCUGAGGUGAGGAAAGGAGGUGGAGGAGGAUCAGGGGUCAGGAAAUCAUGUGUCUCCACCAGAAAUGCUGGUGGAAAAUGCUCAUGAAAUGGACAUCAUGUGAGGCUCUGUAAACCAUGCAAGCUUGAGCCAGAGCCCCGCCUUUGGGUGGUGCCUGGGGCACUCCCACAGGUGUAGCACUCCCAAAGCAAGACUCCAGACAGCGGAGAACCUCAUGCCUGGCACCUGAGGUACCCAGCAGCCUCCUGUCUCCCCUUUCAGCCUUCACAGCAGUGAGCUGCAAUGUUGGAGGGCUUCAUCUCGGGCUGCAAGGACCCUGGGAAAGUUCCAGAACUCCACGUCCUUGUCUCAAUUGUGCCAUCAACUUUCAGAGCUAUCAUGAGCCAACCUCACCCCACAGGGCCUCAGUCGCCACCAUGUGGGCCUCUCCAGUGCAAACCACCGAGCAUUCCACCAUGACCGGUCACAGCUACAAAUCCAGAGACCAUCAAUCCUGCUAGAGUGCAGGGUGGCAAGCACCCAAGGGUGGCUGACCAAGACUGCAGAGUCUCCUCCAUCUUCAGGUCCAUUCAGCCUCCUGGCAUUUAACUACCAGCAUCCAGUGGUCCCCAAGGAAUCCCUUCCUAGCCUCCUGACAUGAGUCUGCUGGAAAGAGCAUCCAAACAAACAAGUAAUAAAUAAAUAAAUAAACUCAA
rnacentral:lncRNA from 1 species